ACUACGGGUGGCAGCAGUGAGGAAUAUUGGUCAAUGGGCGCGAGCCUGAACCAGCCAAGUCGCGUGAGGGAAGACGGCCCUACGGGUUGUAAACCUCUUUUGCCGGGGAGCAACGGGCGCCACGUGUGGCGCCACUGAGAGUACCCGGAGAAAAAGCAUCGGCUAACUACGUGCCAGCAGCCGCGGUAAUACGGAGGAUGCGAGCGUUAUCCGGAUGUAAUGGGUUUAAAGGGUGCGUAGGCGGGGCGUUAAGUCAGUGGUCAGAUGGAGGGGCUCAACCCCUUCCCGCCAUUGAAACUGGCGCUCUUGAGUGGAAGAGAAGUAUGCGGAAUGCGUGGUGUAGCGGUGAAAUGCAUAGAUAUCACGCAGAACCCCGAUUGCGAAGGCAGCAUGCCGGCUUCCGACUGACGCUGAAGCACGAAAGCGUGGGGAUCGAACAGGAUUAGAUACCCUUGUAGUC
rnacentral:rRNA from 1 species